ensembl:lncRNA
AAGGUGCCCACCAGAGUACUUCAGGAUAACUGCUCCCUCAAGUUCAAAUAAUUUCCUCUGUCACUGCAUGCAUCACACAGGAAUCUGUGAGGAGUCAGGUCCUGUAAACCAGCCAUCAUCAGCAACAUCACGUAAUGAAGUCCUAGAACUGCAGGCUUCUCUGCUUCAGUGCUCUUGGGAGAGGUGAAUGGAAAACACUUGAAAGAAACCUGCUGCAAGCAGUGAGGGAGUUUGUCAUAUAUGGAAUGAAAAGGAAAUGCACUCUUCCCACCAAGGAUGGCAUGAAAAUGGCCAUAAUUGCUGGCAGGAUGAAGCUAUGUCAUUUGAACUUUAGAGGGAUACAAGCAUUUCAAAUGUUUGAAUGCAGCCAUGGUGGCAAAAUGAAGGGAAGAGAGGAAGAAGGCUACGUGCUUGACACUGAGUUCACACCAUUCUAGGUAAAAGCAAGAAGAGACACAGAUUUAUCCAUUUUUGAUUUGCAGGUUGAACCUUGCUGUUGAUCAAAGUGCAUUUACUUGUUUUUAGUAUUGUAAGCUUCUUUCCCUUGCCUUGUUACCAUGUUCAACUACUUAUUUUAAUUGCAAGGAAAAGAAAGCCGCUGAUCUGCAUAAAGGUUAUAAGGAAAUGUGCACAAAUGUGCAAAAACUCAAGUGUUUACAUGAACCAGUUAAAUAGCUCCCCAUGUCCUUAAUGAGCAAGCACGGGAAUUCAAUUAACUGAUAUUUUAUUUGUUAAAUGAACUGACCUUUAUCCAGUGCAAUCUAUAAAAUUAAUUUGGCAC